AUGGAUUUGGUGGCUCUGUGGUGUCAGGAACCUAUGUCUGUCUGGGAGCAUGGCUCACUGUUCCAUCCUUGUAGAGUUUCUACUGGGUCUCCGGAGUAAAGCAGGGUCAAAGAGUGGAGCAGAGACUGAAGGAAAGGACAUCCAGAGACUGUCCCACCUGGGGACCCAUCCCAUAUGCAGCCACCAAACCCAGACACUAUUGCUGAUACUGAGAAGGGUUUGCUUAUAGGAGCCUGUCAUAGGUGUCCCCUGAGAGGUUCUGCCAGAAGCUGACCUAUACAGAUGUGAAGACUCACAGCCAACUAUCAGGUUGAGCACUGGGACCCCAAUGGAAGAGCUAGGGGAAGGACUUACGGAGCUGAAGAGGAUUGCAACCCCAUAGGAAGAACACCAAUAUCAAAUAAUUGCCCCCCCCCAGGGCUAUACCACCAACCAAAGAGUAUACAUGAAGGGUUCUAUAGCUCCAGCUUCAUAUAUAGCAGAGGAUCACUUUGCCUGGUAUCAGUGGGAUGGGAGGCCCUUGGUCCUUUGGAGACUCAAUUCCCCAGUGUAAGGGGAUGCUAUGUCAGUGAGACAGGAGUGUGGGUGGGUGGGGUUUCAGCCUAAAAGAGGCAGGGGGGAGCUGGGAUAGAGGGUUUACAGAGGGGAAUGGGACAACAUUUGAAAUGUAAAUAAAUAAAAUAACCAAUUAAAAAAGCAAAAGAAAGAAAGAAGGAAAGAAAACAAGGCAUAGAUGAGGAAACAGUGGAACAGUUUUUAUUGUGGACUAAGUUAACACAAAGAACAAAGGCAUACAGGAGUUCUACUAAAAGCCAUAUAACAAAUUCUAUCCCUGACCCAGCACCCUUCAACCUAUAUGCACACACUUAAAUUGGUGUAACUUUGAGGCAAUUGUACCUCCCUAUGUGUUCAUUCUAGCUAGGGAUGCUAUAAUACAUGUUGGGAUGCUAAUGGAGAAAGAAAUCUUACUGUUCUGAGGAGCUAGCUAGGAGUGUGGUUCCUAGAUUGUGAUGGCUAUCAGUGGUCUUCUGGGAACAAGAAAUCUAGUCCCUUCCCUCCAUCUUGUACUAAGAGAAUAUCUAGCCAAGCUCCAAUAUCUCUGUGAGAGACAUCUGACACACAAUUUUAACCCCAGGUGGAGAUGUCAAGGGUAAUUUCUGCUAAACAGCAUGAAGACCUAUCUGCUCCUGAGAAGGAAAGACCUCUAAGGACCCAGUCUGAUUUCCAGACAGAAUAGAGCCCAUUCAUGCAGAAGGUUUCUAUGCAAACUAGAGUUAAUUCAUUCAAUGCUUAUCAUUCUUCGAAGUAUAAAAGGCUUCAAAUCCACU
rnacentral:lncRNA from 1 species